UUUAAAGUCUAAUUUGCCCUAUGAGGAGUUAAAUGGCCGCGGUAUUUUGACCGUGCAAAGGUAGCAUAAUAAUUAGUUUUUUAAUUGAAAGCUAGCAUGAAUGAUUGGACGAGAAAAUAGCUGUCUCAAUUUAAUUUUAUUAGAAUUUUAUUUUUAAGUAAAAAAGCUUAAAUAUAAUUAAAAGACGAGAAGACCCUAUAGAGUUUUAUAAUUAAUAUAUUAUAAAUUUUUAAGAAUUUUUUUAUUUAUAUUAAAUUAAUUAUUUUAUUGGGGCGAUAGAAAAAUUUAAUUAACUUUUUUUUUAAAAAUUAUAACAUUAAUUUAUGAUUGAUUGAUCCAUUUUUUAUGAUUAUAAGAUUAAGUUACCUUAGGGAUAACAGCGUAAUUUUUUUUUAGAGUUCUUAUCGAAAGAAAAGAUUGCGACCUCGAUGUUGGAUUAAAAUUUAUAUUUGGUGUAGGAGCUAAGUAAUUAGGUCUGUUCGACCUUUAAAAUUUUACA
rnacentral:rRNA from 1 species